rnacentral:rRNA from 1 species
GAGUUUAAUCCUAGCUCAGAAUUAACGCUUGUGAUAUGCUUAACACAUGCAAGUUUAAUUUUUUUAUUUUUAAAUAAUAAUAAAAAAAUAGCGUACGGGUGAGUAAUAUAUAAGAAUUUACUUUUAUAAAUUUUAAAAAAUUAAAAUAUAAUAUUGAAAAUUAAAAUAAAUAAAAAUAAAUUUGUAUAAAAAUAAGCUUAUAUUUGAUUAGUUAGUUGGUAAAAUAAAAGUUUACCAAGACAAUUAUCAAUAGUUGAUCUUAUCGGAUAAUCAACCACACUGAGAUUGAGAUACAGCUCAGAUUUAUUUUUUUAAAAAAAAAAGCAGCAGUGGGGAAUUUUUCGCAAUAAGCAAAAGAGCUUGACGAAUCAAUAUCAUGUGAAGGAAAAAAGGCUUUUUUAGUCAUAAACUUCUUUUUUAAAAAAAAAAAAAAAUGAUUAUUAUUUUAAGAAUAAGCAUCGGCUAAUUCUGUGCCAGCAGCCGCGGUAAUACAGGAGAUGCUAGUGUUAUUCAAAAUUAUUGGGCAUAAAAUGUCUUUAGAUUAUUUUUUUAAUUUAUUAUAAAAUUUUAAGAUUUAAUCUUAAUAUAAUUAAUAAUAAUUAAUUUAUUAGAGUAAUAAAAAAAGGGUAGAAGGAAUUUUUAGUGUAACAGUUAAAUGUAUUGAUAUUAAAAAGAACACCAAAAGCAAAAGCAUUCUACUAAAUAAUAUAAAUAAUUUUAUAUUUUAAAAUUUAACUGACAUUUAUAGACGAAAGCUAAAGUAGCAAACGGGAUUAGAUACCCCAUUAGUUUUAGCUGUAAAUUAUAAAUAUUAAAAAAAUAAUAUAUUAUAUUAUUUUUUAUAGUAAAUACGUUAAAUAUUUUGCCUGAAAAUUAUAUUUGCAAAAAUUAAAUUCAAAGGAAUUGACGGGAACUUACAAAAGUAAUGGAGCAUGUGGUUUAAUUCGAUGCAAAACGAAAAAUCUUACCAAAUUUUUAUAUAAAAAAAUUAUUUUAUAAAUAUUUUAUUUUAUAAAUUAAAUUUAAAAUAUAUUAGGUAGUGCAUGGCUGUCAAAAGUUCGUGUCGUAAGAUGUUGAAAAAAAAUAUUAAAAUUAUUUCAUAACGAACAAAACUCUUAUAUAUUAUUACUAUAAAAAUUUAUAAUAAACAAAUAUAUUAAUUUAAUAAUUAUAAAUUUAUAGAACUUUAUAUAUUAUAUAUUUUUUAAUUAAAAAAAAUAUAAAGAAUUAUGUCAAGUCAUUAUGCUCUUUUAUAAUUUGGGCUACACACAUGCUACAAUGGAUAAAUAACAAAAAAAUUAAUAUUAAUAUAUAUUAUAAUAAAAUUAUCUAAAAUUCGAAUUAUAAACUGUAACUCGUUUAUAUGAAGUUGGAAUUACUAGUAAUCACAGGUAAGAUAUACUGUGGUGAAUAUAUAAUUAUAAGUUUUGUACAUACCGCCCGUCACAUUUUAAAAAUUAAAUUUUUAUUAAAAAAAAUUAAUUUUUAAAAUUUUUUUAAUAAAAAUUUAAUAAUUGAAAUGAAGUCGUAACAAGGUAGUUGUACUGGAAAGUGUAACUAGAAUACCUCCAUA